rnacentral:rRNA from 1 species
UACGGGGGGGGCAAGCGUUGUUCGGAAUUACUGGGCGUAAAGGGCUCGUAGGCGGCCAACUAAGUCAGACGUGAAAUCCCCCGGCUUAACCUGGGAACUGCGUCUGAUACUGGAAGGCUUGAGUAUGGGAGAGGGAUGUAGAAUUCCAGGUGUAGCGGUGAAAUGCGUAGAUAUCUGGAGGAAUACCGGUGGCGAAGGCGGCAUCCUGGGCCAUUACUGACGCUGAGGCGCGAAAGCUAGGGGAGCAAACGGG